rnacentral:rRNA from 1 species
CAAUAGCGUAUAUUAAAGUUGUUGCAGUUAAAAAGCUCGUAGUUGGAUUUCUGAUCGAGACAUCAGGUCGGGUCCGAGAGGAUCAUGUACUUUGAUUUUGUUUUGAUCAUCCUUGGGGAGAGCAUUUCUGGCAUUCAGUUGUCGGGAUUGGGAUCCUCAUCGUUUACUGUGAAAAAAUUAGAGUGUUCAAAGCAGGCCUCGGCCUCUGAAUACAUUAGCAUGGAAUAAUAAGAUAGGACUUUGGUGGUCUAUUUUGUUGGUUUGCACGCCAAAGUAAUGAUUAAUAGGGAUAGUUGGGGGUAUUCGUAUUCAAUUGUCAGAGGUGAAAUUCUUGGAUUUACGGAAGACGAACUACUGCGAAAGCAUUUACCAAGGAUGUUUUCAUUAA